rnacentral:rRNA from 1 species
GACGAACGCUGGCGGCGUGCUUAACACAUGCAAGUCGAACGGGUCUGCCCUGUUUUUUGCGGGGUGGGUCAGUGGCGAACGGGUGAGUAACACGUGAGUAACCUGCCCCUCACUUCUGGAUAACCGCUUGAAAGGGUGGCUAAUACGGGGUGUUCUGGCUGUGCCGCAUGGUGUGGCUGGGAAAGAUUCACUUUUGUGGUGGUUUGGUGGGGGAUGGGCUCGCGGCCUAUCAGCUUGGUGGUGGGGUGAUGGCCUGCCAAGGGUUGAGGGGUAGCAGGCCUGGGAGGGUGGGCGGUCAGAGUGGGACUGAGAUACGGCCCAGACUCAGGCGCGAGGCAGAAGUGGGGGGUAUGGCACAGUGGGCGGAAGUGUGAUGCGGCGGCGUCGCGUGAGGGAUGGAGGCCUGCGGGUUGUGAACGUCUUUCGCCGGUGAAGAAGGUCCUGCUCUUGGGGGUGGGGUUGACGGUAGCCGGGUUAUGAAGCGCCGGCUAACUACGUG